rnacentral:lncRNA from 1 species
GGGCCGGCGCCGUGCUGUGAGCGCAGCGGAAACCCCGAAAGCAGCGGCAGCGGCGGGAAGGGGCUCCAAGGAGCAAAGAAGUUCCUUACUGUGAGGCUGCCAUGGCAGACGUUUUCUUUGGAAUAUACAAGUGGUGUUCCAGGUAUCCUGUGAGGUCUUCAACAGUCACAUCAUCGACAUAGGUGGGAGCCUCCUCAGAAUAGGAUGUGGGAGAAGUCCACGAGGCUGUUUCACAGAGGGGUCUGUUAAGCGUGGAUAAGGAGAAACAAGCUGAGGUUUGGCUGUUGUGUGAGUCAGAGUGGAAGGAUGAGGGCAGAGCGAGGCAGUUCUCCCGUGACAGAGCGCAGUGUCUCCUGGUGGAGGCAGAAAUCCCCACCGUGCUCAGUGCUGUUCCCUGCCACCACGUCAGCCCACAUCCCCUGCUGGGGCCAGCGUGCUGCCAGCAUAUGCCGGGUCACCUGCUGUCCGUGGGGACCGGGUAACGGCACGGAGCAGUGUGAGGACUGCAGCCCCGCUUAGCAGUGUGCCCCGUGGAUGUGGGGCUGCCCCAUGGCUGUGGCCGCUGCAGUGAGGGCUCCUGCGUGGGGCUGCGGUGUGUGCCUGCCUGCCUGCCAUCCCAGGGUGGGCGGGGAGAGGAGAGCAGCUGAGCUGGCAUGGUGCCUGCGCCUGGGGAGCUAUUUGGAGAUGCGUUUGAUGUCUCCGCCGCAAGGGUGAUGGAUGCUGGGGCGAACGUCGUGAUGGCACAGCCAACGCUCUGUGCUGGGCUUUGAAGUCUCCCGAGCGGAGCAUCCCAGCUCGCAGAUUUGGGAAGACAUGGACUACGGGGCAGGAGAUGCUACUUGCCAAGGCGGCUCCGUGAGGAGCAGCCUCAGAGCUCAACAUCCCAGCUGCACCCUGCUCCAGGAGGACGCAGGAGUUCCCCGUCAGCUGUGCCUUCCUCCGCAUCUCUGUCACUGUGUCCCCGGUGUGCAGAGCCCGGUGAGAUGCCGCCACGCACCGUGGGCUCCUGAAGCCAUGGAGCAGCACAGACCCAAGGAGGAGGACGAGCAGGCUGAGGUGAUGCUGCCCGUUGCUUGCAGUGGGUGCUGCAGCUUGCCUGGAGGAAGCCCCCACAAUAACUCAGUGCGUAAACGUGGGAGGAUACAGGACAGGAGACCUGGAACGUCCGUGCCGUGAGAGACCGGCCGGUCCUCCUGCAGUCCUCUCACACCUGCAGGGUCAGAACAGGUGAACAGACUGAGACGGCUGUUGGUGUGCAGUCCCUGACAGGAGCAGCGGAAGAGCCUUAAGGAAGCGGGGCUCUCCCAGAAGAGAGAGGCACGCAAACACUGCUGCUGUAAAGCUCCUGGAGGGCCGUCCGCAGGCUGCGCUCCUCCUCGUCCUCGUCGUCGUCGUCCUCGUCCUCGUCGUCGUCCUGCUGCUGCUGCUGCUGCUCCUCCUCGUCCUCGUGCCGCCUGUUUGCAAGCCAAGGACACGUGAAAGGAACGUCAGCGGGACUGAGGCGGAGCUGCACCCAGCCUGUGGUGGGCGACCCAAUAAAAGCCAACUGUUU